AAACAUAAUAACUUACAGAAGAACAAAACAUGUUUUAUGAUAGUGUCCCUUUAAACAAAAUACAUUUUCAGUUGUGUAUAACAAAAGUUGCACUUGUAUACAUUGUAUAGUUAUAAAACUCACACUUUCCAGCCCUUUGAGAUUAAUAUGAACUCCCAUUUAACUGGGGGGAAAAAAAGAGUAACUUCUCCAUUAUCAAAAUGCAGAUGUCAGCUUUACUCCAUGUUGUAAAACCCAUAAAGGUGAACAUGUGGAAUCAGUUCAUUGGUGCAGUUUGCAGAAUGAAGACAAGACCAGAUGUAUGGUUAUACUAACUAUGAGCAGUUUGGCAACAUGCAGACAUUCAUAGGAAUCCAGAUGGAUCAAAUCCACCAUUACGUCACCAAUUGGUAUUGAAAAUAUGUCUGCCUGGUUCCACCAUGGUCCUCUUGUGAUCCCAUUAGAAAAUUUUCCCAAUAAGAUGUUUUCACCAGUCACUUGAAGAUGGGAAAAUAGUUGUGAGGCAGGGUUAGGCUAGUUUCACACUAGCGCUUACAUUGUCCAGCCGGCUGUUCCGGCAGAGGAUAGUCAAUGGGGCCUGGCGGUCCUCCAGCAGUUUCUGGCCAUACUGGAUGCGAUUAUCUCCGGAAGGCUGUUCCUCUGCACUAAGUGCUAGUGUGAAAAUAGCCUUAGGGUAUGGGUAUACAUGUCUUGCGACAACAAACAGCUGCUAAUUUUCUCCCAAAUCACUGUUUCCCAGAAAAUAUUUGUUCCAAAAUGAAUCGGCUUCACAUUUUGAAACAUACAGACAUAUGCUGUCCCCAAUAAAAUCAGAUGGAGCAUGCAAUCAAUAAUCUAGUGUAUAUCCUUAUAUAUAGACCACAUUAAUCUGAUAAAACGC